ACGAAGGUGAACCGACCCGCAAGGGAGCUUGCACAGGUGUUUGCAUGGCUGUCGUCAGCUCGUGUCGUGAGAUGUUCGGUUAAGUCCGCUAACGAGCGCAACCCUCGCUGUAUGUUACAUGUGUCAUACAGGACCGCCGGUAUCAAGCCGGAGGAAGGUGGGGAUGACGUCAAGUCCGCAUGGCCUUUAUGUCCGGGGCUACACACACGCUACAAUGGUCGGUACAAUGGGUUGCUAAGCCGCGAGGUGGAGCCAAUCCCCCAAAGCCGGCCUCAGUUCAGAUUGCAGGCUGCAACUCGCCUGCAUGAAGCUGGAGUUGCUAGUAAACGCGCGUCAGCUAUAGUGCGUUGAAUACGUUCUCGGGCCUU
rnacentral:rRNA from 1 species